CACGGAGCGCCCUCUGAUGUCAGUUUCGAUACAUCCAUCAUUGUUUUUGUCGGAGUUCGAAGUAAUGGUGGACUCUGAAUAAAUCUUUCUGAAAGAUUUUCGAGGAAAGAAGAAGAAGAAAGAGUUUGAGUUGGAAAUCAAGAUGGCAAGACACAUAAGUAUAUUGAAGACCACAGAGGAGCCUACAGUUGUGUUUGGUGCUCAGGAGUAUGCUUGUCUGUUUUGCUAUUAAAGAACAGAUUAUGCAGGCAUCAUCAGCCACUUACAGAGCCACAAAAGGACAGUAGUGGUUCAUGGAGGUUUCAAAAUAUACAAGUGUUCACUGAACUGCCAGGGAUCAGGCCACUACCAUUGCUGUUAUUGCCAGAAAACAGUAGUUCAUAAAGAUCAGUUCCUCAGGCACUUGUCA